UACGGGGGGGGCAAGCGUUGUUCGGAAUUACUGGGCGUAAAGGGCUCGUAGGCGGCCAACUAAGUCAGACGUGAAAUCCCCAGGCUCAACCUGGGAACUGCGUCUGAUACUGGAUGGCUUGAAUUCGGGAGAGGGAUGCAGAAUUCCAGGUGUAGCGGUGAAAUGCGUAGAUAUCGGGAGGAACACCAGUGGCGAAGGCGACUUCCUGGCCUGUUCUUGACGCUGAGGCGCGAAAGCUAGGGUAGCAAACGGG
rnacentral:rRNA from 1 species